AUUGAACGCUGGCGGCAGGCCUAACGCAUGCAAGUCGAGCGGAUGAAGGGAGCUUGCUCCUGGAUUCAGCGGCGGACGGGUGAGUAAUGCCUAGGAAUCUGCCUGGUAGUGGGGGAUAACGUCCGGAAACGGGCGCUAAUACCGCAUACGUCCUGAGGGAGAAAGUGGGGGAUCUUCGGACCUCACGCUAUCAGAUGAGCCUAGGUCGGAUUAGCUAGUUGGUGGGGUAAAGGCCUACCAAGGCGACGAUCCGUAACUGGUCUGAGAGGAUGAUCAGUCAGACUGGAACUGAGACACGGUCCAGACUCCUACGGGAGGCAGCAGUGGGGAAUAUUGGACGAUGGGCGAAAGCCUGAUCCAGCCAUGCCGCGUGUGUGAAGAAGGUCUUCGGAUUGUAAAGCACUUUAAGUUGGGAGGAAGGGCAGUAAGUUAAUACCCUGCUGUUUUGACGUUACCAACAGAAUAAGCACCGGCUAACUUCGUG
rnacentral:rRNA from 1 species